GAUGAACGCUGGCGGCGUGCCUAAUACAUGCAAGUCGAGCGAACAGAUAAGGAGCUUGCUCCUUUGACGUUAGCGGCGGACGGGUGAGUAACACGUGGGUAACCUACCUAUAAGACUGGGAUAACUUCGGGAAACCGGAGCUAAUACCGGAUAACAUUUGGAACCGCAUGGUUCUAAAGUGAAAGAUGGUUUUGCUAUCACUUAUAGAUGGACCCGCGCCGUAUUAGCUAGUUGGUAAGGUAACGGCUUACCAAGGCGACGAUACGUAGCCGACCUGAGAGGGUGAUCGGCCACACUGGAACUGAGACACGGUCCAGACUCCUACGGGAGGCAGCAGUAGGGAAUCUUCCGCAAUAGGCGAAAGCCUGACGGAGCAACGCCGCGUGAGUGAUGAAGGGUUUCGGCUCGUAAAACUCUGUUAUUAGGGAAGAACAAAUGUGUAAGUAACUGUGCACGUCUCGACGGUACCUAAUCAGAAAGCCACGGCUAACUACGUG
rnacentral:rRNA from 1 species